rnacentral:lncRNA from 1 species
AGUGGCGUGUGCAAUUCACUUGAGGAAAGUUCAAGCAUCAUAACAUGUGUAUUUAAUUCCUGCUUACCUUUCUCCUUGACUUAAUUACUCUUUUCCUGCAGCAAAUUAUAAGUUGCUAUAGUGUCUUCUUUAAAGGAUUCUAAUGCCCAGAUUGGGUUCUGCUGGGGCAUUGGCGUUGAUGGUUUUGUA